rnacentral:tRNA from 1 species
AAGGCUUUAGCUUAAUUAAAGUGUUUGGGUUGCAUUCAAAAGAUGUGGGAUAAAAUCCUGCAAGUCUUA